UUACGGCCAUAUCAUGUCGAGACGCCAUUUUUCAUCCGAUCAACGAAGUAAAGUAACGUUGGUCUUGGUCAGUACCUAGAUGUGUAACCACUUGAGAAUACCAGGUGUU